GUGGGGAAUAUUGGACAAUGGGCGCAAGCCUGAUCCAGCCAUGCCGCGUGAGUGAUGAAGGCCUUAGGGUUGUAAAGCUCUUUUGUCCGGGAAGAUAAUGACUGUACCGGAAGAAUAAGCCCCGGCUAACUUCGUGCCAGCAGCCGCGGUAAUACGAAGGGGGCUAGCGUUGCUCGGAAUCACUGGGCGUAAAGGGCGCGUAGGCGGACUUUUAAGUCGGGGGUGAAAGCCCAGGGCUCAACCCUGGAAUUGCCUUCGAUACUGGGAGUCUUGAGUUCGGAAGAGGUUGGUGGAACUGCGAGUGUAGAGGUGAAAUUCGUAGAUAUUCGCAAGAACACCAGUGGCGAAGGCGGCCAACUGGUCCGAUACUGACGCUGAGGCGCGAAAGCGUGGGGAGCAAACAGGAUUAGAAACCCUAGUAGUCC
rnacentral:rRNA from 1 species